rnacentral:rRNA from 1 species
UUUAUUUAAUGGCCGCGGUAUUUUGACUGUGCAAAGGUAGCAUAAUCAUUAGCUUAUUAAUUGUGAGAUGGUAUGAAUGGUUGGACGAGAUAUUAACUGUCUUCACAUUUAUUAAUUGAAUUUAAUUUUUGAGUUAAAAAGCUUAAAUUUUUUUAAAGGACGAGAAGACCCUAUAGAUCUUUAUUUAUAACUUUUUAUUAAUUUUUGGUUUAUAUUUAUUUACUUAUUUAUUUAUUUUUUUUGUUGGGGCGACAUUUAGAUAUAAUAAACUCUUUAUUUUUUUUUUCAUUUAUUUUUGUUUAUAUUAUUUUUUAUUAUUUUUAUAAGAAAUAGAUACCUUAGGGAUAACAGCGUAAUUCUUUUUGAGAGUUCUUAUUGACACUUGAGAUUGCGACCUCGAUGUUGAAUUAAGAUUAUAUUUUGGUGUAGUAGCUAUUUUUAUAGGUCUGUUCGACCUUUAAAUUCUUACAUGAUCUGAGU